GAGGGUGCGAGCGUUAAUCGGAUUUACUGGGCGUAAAGCGCGCGUAGGUGGCUAAUUAAGUCAAAUGUGAAAUCCCCGAGCUUAACUUGGGAAUUGCAUUCGAUACUGGUUAGCUAGAGUAUGGGAGAGGAUGGUACAAUUCCAGGUGUAGCGGUGAAAUGCGUAGAGAUCUGGAGGAAUACCGAUGGCGAAGGCAGCCAUCUGGCCUAAUACUGACACUGAGGUGCGAAAGCAUGGGGAGCAAACAGGAU
rnacentral:rRNA from 1 species